GAUGAACGCUAGCUACAGGCUUAACACAUGCAAGUCGAGGGGAAACGCCAUCGAAAGCUUGCUUUUGAUGGGCGUCGACCGGCGCACGGGUGAGUAACGCGUAUCCAACCUGCCCAUCACUUGGGGAUAACCUUGCGAAAGUAAGACUAAUACCCAAUGAUAUCUCUAGAAGACAUCUGAAAGAGAUUAAAGAUUUAUCGGUGAUGGAUGGGGAUGCGUCUGAUUAGCUUGUUGGCGGGGUAACGGCCCACCAAGGCAACGAUCAGUAGGGGUUCUGAGAGGAAGGUCCCCCACAUUGGAACUGAGACACGGUCCAAACUCCUACGGGAGGCAGCAGUGAGGAAUAUUGGUCAAUGGGCGAGAGCCUGAACCAGCCAAGUAGCGUGCAGGAAGACGGCCCUAUGGGUUGUAAGCUGCUUUUAUAAGGGAAUAAAGUGAGAGUCGUGACUCUUUUUGUAUGUACCUUAUGAAUAAGGACCGGCUAAUUCCGUG
rnacentral:rRNA from 1 species